CGCCCCUUUAUCAGGGCCAUGGAGAAGGAAAACCGGUUUCACUUGUUCAUACCGCAGCGCUGGGCAGGUGUCUGCUGGCAGAGGCCAGGGUUCUAACAAAUGCUCAGAUGAUGAUUUUAAGUUGCCAUCCAAUAUGUCGAACCAUGGUGAAAUCACUGAUUCAGAUACAAUUUCACAGCAAGUAAAACUUUGCUCUGAAGUAGAUGAAGAG